rnacentral:rRNA from 1 species
CCGGUUGAUCCUGCCGGAGGUCACUGCUAUUGGGAUUCGACUAAGCCAUGCGAGUCGAGAGGGUUCGGCCCUCGGCGAACUGCUCAGUAACACGUGGAUAAUUUGCCCUUAGGUGGAGGAUAACCUCGGGAAACUGAGAAUAAUACUCCAUAGAUCUAGGAUGCUGGAAUGCACUUAGAUUAAAAGCCCCGGCGCCUAAGGAUAAGUCUGCGGACUAUCAGGUUGUAGUCAGGGUAAAGACCUGACUAGCCUACAACGGAUACGGGUUGUGAGAGCAAUAACCCGGAGACGAUAUCUGAGACACGAUAUCGGGCCCUACGGGGCGCAGCAGGCGCGAAACCUUCGCACUGUGCGAAAGCGCGAUGAGGGGAUCCCAAGUGCUUGCUCGUAAGAGUAAGCUGUUUUUAUGUCUAAAAAGCAUAGAGAGUAAGGGCUGGGUAAGACGGGUGCCAGCCGCCGCGGUAAUACCUGCAGCUCAAGUGGUGAUCAUUAUUAUUGGGCCUAAAACGUCCGUAGCCGGUUUGGUAAAUGCCUGGGUAAAUCGUGUAGCUUAACUAUACGAAUUCCGGGUAGACUGCCAAACUUGAGACCGGGAGAGGCUAGAGGUACUCCUGGGGUAGAGGUGAAAUUCUGUAAUCCUAGGGGGACCACCAGUGGCGAAGGCGUC